UGGUAGAUCCAUAGAUAGCCUCGAAUCCAGGCCCCUCGUACUUACCUAUCAAAGACACCACAAACUAGCCAUCUCAUCCAUGAGUCCAGGGCGACGGGAUUCCAACUCAGAGCGUCGUACAGGUGUUGGAAUAGAGGGUCAGUGCACUGAGGAAGAUAAUGGUGUGCCUAUCUGCCAACCUUCUAAUCGUACUGGAUUGCUUCAACGUCCGACGCCACACUUGUCUGUGUUUCAGAGGCUCCAAAAUCAACUCAAAUCACAUCCCCGAUUGUUUACAACAUGUUAAUUUUGCACUAUUGUUGGAUUCUUGAUCAUCGUUGCCUGUGUUGUUGUUCCUGUUGUCAUAGCUCCAUGUAGGGACUACUCCACUAGAGGAUAUCUUCAGUCAUGGUACUAUUCUGUUUUCCCUCAACAUUGGCACUUCUUGUCACUCGGAUUUAUUUGCACAAGAAAUUAGCUCGACUCAAGAUGACUCCACCGUGCAGGAACUUUGACUCUAUAGCAGAAAAUGUGAAGAUGUCCAUAAGCAUCGGGAAACUGUCAAUGAUUCGCGGUAUGGCUACACAAACUUCACUCGGUCAUUGGGUAUCUACUAGAAACAGUAUUUUUCUUAAAACUCGAAUGUAUCUGUUUCCAUUAAUGCGUUAACACCUCUUGGUAGGAGUAGUGAAGCGAUUGUAUGUAUUUUUGAUAACCAAGAACAUUUUCAAGACUUCAUAACUGAUGAGGAGUACUGGAAGAAGCACAUUCAGUAUGCUGUGUACUGCAACAAUACAAUGGUGUACAAUGGCUCCCUGGACACACUGACCCAAAGGCACCCAUUCACAUUGUGUCAGGAUCAGCCGGUUGCCGUGAGAGACACUCUGGGUUCCAAAAGCGAGGACUACUGCUACAGUAGGAUGACAGUGUCAUGCACAGUGGAGCAGAUCAGUGCCGAUCAGGAUGGCACUGUUAUUACAAGUUCACCAUCAUCAAACACUACCAUUAUUAUAUGGACCCUAUAUACGAUAUGACUUUAUAAUUCACAUUUAUUUAUUAUGUCGUCAUUGAAAGUUCUCU